GAUGAACGCUGGCGGCGUGCCUAAUACAUGCAAGUCGAGCGAACAGACGAGGAGCUUGCUCCUCUGACGUUAGCGGCGGACGGGUGAGUAACACGUGGAUAACCUACCUAUAAGACUGGGAUACCUUGGGAAACCGGGACACAUACCCGAAUAUCUGUUGGAACGGCAGGGUCAAUCGUGAAAGGCGGUUCUGUUUUCUAUUGUUGGUGGAUCCGCGCCGGCUUAGCUAGCUGGUUAGGUAACGGCUUACCAAGCCAACGGUGGGGAGCCGGCCUGAGAGGGUGAUCGGCCACACUGGAACUGAGACACGGUCCAGACUCCUACGGGAGGCAGCAGUAGGGAAUCUUCCGCAAUGGGCGAAAGCCUGACGGAGCAACGCCGCGUGAGUGAUGAAGGUCUUCGGAUCGUAAAACUCUGUUAUUAGGGAAGAACAAAUGUGUAAGUAACUAUGCACGUCUUGACGGUACCUAAUCAGAAAGCCACGGCUAACUACGUG
rnacentral:rRNA from 1 species